AUGUAACCGGACCUUACCGGUGCCGUAAGACGCAUCGGUUUGGAAAGGGAGAUAUCAUACACCCUGUAUUUAUUUACCUUUGUUGCUUUGGCGGGCCGUCCUUCUAGGCGUCGGCCCCGGCUGAUCGCGCCCGCCAGAGGACCCAAAACUCUUUUAUCAGUGAUGUCUGAGUACUAUAUAAUAGUUA
rnacentral:misc_RNA from 1 species